CUCUCUCUCUCUCUGCUCUGCCUCUCUCUCUCUCUCUCUCUCUCUCUGUGUCAGUGUUACUGUCUGUCUCUGCAGGUCUCUGUUGUACUUUUAGUAUAUCUGGGGUGAGCAUUUUAACCUCACUAUUAAACAUUACAAGCCAGUAUUUAAUUAAAGUUUAAAAUUAUUAUUAUUAUUAUUAUUAUUGAGAACUUGCUGAUUUUGCAUCUCAUAUUAAUGAAAUAUCUAGAUUAAAAUAUGAGCACCAGCAUGAAUGCCAAAUAAACUAGAUCAAAACUCUGCUUUAGUUGUUAUUUUAAAAUGAGACACAGACUCAAAAAUAGCUAAAAGGCACCGCAGUUCACACAGAACCUGGAAGCUGGGGGCUUAAAGCACCAGAGACAGUAAUAGAAAAAUCAGCCAGGCAGCUGAGCUCACGAUCAAUUCACUUCAACUUAAGUCGAUUAAGUUGUUGAAAGUAAAAUGCAUUGUGCCCUAAAUCUGUCUGUACAGGUGUGGGAGUGGUGUGAUCCAUCAUUUCAGGUAGGAGGAAGAGAGAAAAAGAGACAACAACCCUGGAACAUUUUUUCCCAACAGUGGAAAAGACGACAUGCAGAUGUUGGAAUCAGUGGAAACGGAUAGGGAAAUCUGUCUCUCUCUCUCUCUCUCUCUCUCCCUGUGUGCCCCUGAGGAAUUUUGAACAAACAAUUUAAAAGCUUGCCAAGAUCCUUACAAAAGCAACAUCUUUAUCACAGAGGUGGAGCAUAGACAGGAACUGAGACUGGGUGGAUAAAGUAAUUAUUUAUUUAUUUGGACGUGGUUGAAACAUGAGCUGAUAGACGUGUUUCUUUUUUGCUUUUUCCAGAAAAAACAAAUCGACAAAGCGCUUGUGUGGUCAUCUGUACAGUCGAUAAUAGGUCAGUGUAAUUGAUAUGAUGUAAUGAUCCGCAGUGAUUCUUCCAUUUUGUUUUGCUUAAACAAAAUGACAUUUCUGCCAGUCGCCAUGGUAUCAUUACAAGCUACACAUACAAAGGCAUUCGUGUGACUACACAUCACAUGAGAAAUGAAAAUGAGAUUAGGAAAGGCGUAUGAAAUGUUAGAAUGAUCCUAAUCAGUGUAUUGCGCUUCACUAACUUUGCAGGCUAUUAAACAGGUUUAAAGUGUACAAUAUACCUCCAGAGGUUGGGGGUUCGGUUCCUCUCUGUGUGUGUGUGUGUGUAUGGCGUUUUCAUGUUUUCCCCAAGCGUUUCCACUGGGUACUCUGGUCUCCUUCCCUAGUCCAAAGACUUGCUCUGUAGGCUGACUACCAUCUCUAUAUUGUUCAUAGUGCCCCUCAUCUUCAGGUAUAGACUCCAGGUUCAGUGUGACCCUGUGUAGGAAAAGUGCUGUAGAAAAUAGAUAUAUAGAUGCAUAGCUGGAUACAAACAAAAGACUAUUUACAAGAAAAACUGACAAAAGUAGCAUAGCAUAGCAGCACAAUGGGACCUUGACUGACCUUGACUUGUAAGUAGGGACCAACAUCUGGAACCACACUGUUUCACUGUGGAGGAGGAAAACUGAACCUGAGAUUUGGUAGUGUUUGGUUUAUGGUUGUAAAAACCCUCCUAUUUUAAUCGCUGAUUAUGGAAAUGAAUUAAUAUACAAAUAGAUUAAUAAAUGUGGCUUAUAAAUAAAAUCUUUUGACUUUUUGUUUUUUUUCUGCAGUAAUAUAUUGCAAGAAAACCCCUGAGGAACAGCUUCAUAUUUUGUAACUGUACUGAUUUUCUUAUAAUCUAAUAAUAACCAGUUUAAAUUGCAAUUAAGGAAGUUUAUCUCAAAUAAAAGCAUAUGAUACUUGAAAUCUGGAUUGAAAUGGAUCUUCUUUAUCUAAACUGUAUCACAUAGACAAUACUAAACUAACCAUCCUCACAAACCUGAGAAAUUUCCACUCUAGUUUAAUAACAUGAAAACAAAUGUAAUAUAUGUCUGAAAUGUAAACAGUUUAGUUUUUCUUUUUCUUCCCAAUUUAGUCCUAGCCAAUUCCCACCCACCAGUCUUCCCAAUUACGCGACGGUUACUGAGGUGGGAUGAUGCCAGCCAACUGCGACGUUUCAAUCUGUUCAUGUGGCGUCACAGGGCAGAGGAUCUAGGAAGAAAAGUGCCAUCUGCUAGCUGUCCUAGCCAGAAAGCAUGGCCAGAUUGGCUUUUUUGGUUCAUGACCAUUGAUAGCUGUUGUAUUAUUGGGAUUCAGCUUCAUGAUCAUAAACAUUCGGUAUAUUUCCUUAAGCUUUUGUUUUUUCUUAAUGCUCAUACGCCUCAUUGAUAUGUUGUUACUUCUUUUGCUUACUUUUUUUAGUAACAUAUUAGUGUUUUAUCUUCUGCUUUUCUUUAUUUAACUAAUAAUCUUCUUCGUCAUUCAGUGUUCUGCUUGUGACAGAGCGGGUCUUGCUCAACCAUGUUAAACAACAUUAAACUGUUUUUUUCCUAAUUCAGACAGACUGCUCCCCUUGCCUUCUUGUUCUCCAUACACGUUUGCACAUGACUAUCUGCUUGUGUGUGCUUUAAAGCUCCAUUAAAACCCAGCUUUAUGCUCUGUGUGCUGUAAAAGUAGCAGUACUUCUGCUUCCCCCAGCAAAUUAUACUGUGUACUGAAUUACAUCCUACCCAGUUAUAUAGCUCUGUGUGCUCUUGCGUUACUGUUACUGUUCAAAUAAACCUGAUUUGUUAGUUGCUACAUCUCUUUGCUUAGAAUUUGCAAGUUUUCACAUUGCUUUGCCUUCUGGUUUUGCAUCGCUAACAGUUGCUUUGCCUGCUGCUGUUGUCACCAGGUCACACUGAAGACUCUCGGGUUCUUGGCUACGUCGCUGCUGCAGUUAUAGCGUUGCGCAGCGAAGUGCACUGGGUCAGUAAACGAGUGUGUCUCUGUUAACCUUGUCUCGCUUUUUGUUAACACCACAUCAGAGCCUCAUUCACGCAAACAAUACGAUCUCCGAUGCAGGAAGUCUCCCCCAUGUCUCUUUUGCCAAGGCCCUGUUGAGACAAGGGUCAGAAAGAAUGUUACUAAGACCGCUGACCACAGGAGGCAAGGAGAAAGCGGGCUUCAGAGCAAGAGAUGGGAAACCCUGGCAGAUAAACAAAGACAAAGCUGUAUUCUGUGCCGGAUUGAGGAAAUCCUAGAUUUUAUUGCUUGUGGCUGUACAGUAAAGUAGAUAUGGGUGACGGCAUAAACUUCAGUGACGGUCACACCCUUCUGAGUCAUGGACUGAGCCUGAUUUCCUUAUGGCACCUCUGGCAUGCUUUGUAGCAGUGGAGCAAUGUCAAGCAUGUUGCACUUUAGCUCCUUUUCCUUAUUCCUGUGUGUGUGUGUGUGUGUGUGUGUUUAUUAUUAUUAUUAUUAUUAUUAUUAUUAUUUCCACUAUUUCUUUUUUUCCCAGUGUCUCCUUGUCAUCAGUCAUCGCUUGCUAUUGAGGUUUACCAGAUGAGGACAGUGAUAGACUUAAUCACUUCCUUUAGUUCUUAGCUGUGUAGCAGCAACAUGUUUUUGUUUUGGUCAUAGAGUUUCAACGUGGAAAUAACACAAGUGCAUGAUGACUGACAAACAAUCCACAAACUGCUUUUGUCAGGCCUGGAGCUGUUUACUCAGAAGAUUUAUUACCGAUUAUUUAUCUUGUUUAUAUCGAUUUAAAACAGCUGGAUCAGCCAGAAAGCAAUCACUGAUCUCACUGUUCUGUUGUUUAAAGACUAAAUGAACUAAACACAGUUCAGGGAUCACUAGUAUAGAGACAUCUAGCCAAGUUGUUUUUCAUUAGGUGGGUCUGGCUUUGCAAGCAGGGUCUAAUCCAAAGGAAGAGUCUUUAAUAAGAGAGAGAGAGAGACAGAGAGAGGGAGAGAGAGAGAGAGCGCUGCCUAGCCCUCUCCCCUUUAUCCCUCCUCUGGACUUCCAGUGUUAAGUGAAGACUGGUACCGUCUCUCAUGUUGUGUGUUUGGAUUUUACGGUGUUUAUCUGCUUUUCUCUGGCUGCUUUCUCUGGCUUUUCUAUUGCUGGUCUAGUUCAGCCUUGUCGAUUUGCUAUGAAGGGACUAAGAGUCUGUCUUAAGUGUACUGGUCAUAAAACCUGAAAUUAGGGAUGAGCGAUGUAUUUAUAGAUCAUGGAUGAUUUAAACCUCUCCAUAAUCUGUUAUUACAUAGAAGUCACGUGUACCAGGAUAGUAAACAUGUUUUAUCUGUUGUGUUUUGAGACAAUGCUUAAACGUGGCAACCCAAGCUGUUUUGAAGCAGACCGUGUUCGUUUAACUAGCAUGUGUUGUCUCAGACAAGAUACACAAACAGACUAUAUAGAAUAAGAGUAGACAGUCUUAGCUUGCCUUUCCUUGUUUUUUAUUUAAAGAAUGACCGUUUUAUUAAAGCCUGACCUCCUUUUAUUUAAAAUGGACACUCUUUAUUUGAAGCCGCCCUUAAUUUAAUUAUUUUUUAUUUUUUAUUAUUAUUUUUUUUUAUUAUUAUUUAUUAUUUUAUUUUUAUUUUUUAUUUUUUAAAGCUUGUUUUGUCUCUGAUAAGAUGCACAAACAAACUAAUAGUAGCUAAGACUAGCCAGUGCUGUUCCUUACACUUCCAGCAUUUUAUAACAACAUAAUACCGAGUAAUUUGGCUGGAAAUGAGAGAUUACUUUUAAAAACAAACAAGUGAAGUGGUUUACGUCAUUAUAGAAAGAAUUGAUUAUAUUUUGAACCCUUUGAUGCACAACAUGGGUCUAUUGUAACCCUACUGAGUUGUUUUAUUUAUUUAUUUUUAAAUUUUUUUGUUUUUAUCUUUGCAAGAAAUCAAUUUCAUCGUUAACUUGAUCAUCGUAUUCCAGACAUUCCUUGUUUUUGAUCAUCACAAAUUUUUAUUUUCAUUUGUCCUUUCUUACUUUCUGAAUAAAAAUCUCUUUUUUUUUUUUUUUUUUUUUUUU